CGUCAGCUCGUGUCGUGAGAUGUUGGGUUAAGUCCCGCAACGAGCGCAACCCUCGACCUUAGUUGCCAGCAUUCAGUUGGGCACUCUAAGGUGACUGCCGGCUAAAAGUCGGAGGAAGGUGGGGAUGGACGUCAAAUCAUCAUGCCCCUUAUGACCUGGGCUACACACGUGCUACAAUGGGCGGUACAAAGGGUCGCGAACCCGCGAGGGGGAGCCAAUCCCAAAAAGCCGCUCUCAGUUCGGAUUGCAGGCUGCAACUCGCCUGCAUGAAGCCGGAAUCGCUAGUAAUCGCGGAUCAGCAUGCCGCGGUGAAUACGUUCCCGGGCCUU
rnacentral:rRNA from 1 species